rnacentral:rRNA from 1 species
UACCCUAACCGUGCAAAGGUAGCAUAAUCACUUGUCUAUUAAUUGUAGACCUGUAUGAAAGGCAAAAUGAGGGUUAAGCUGUCUCUUAUAAUUAAUCUAUUAAACUGAUCUCCUAGUAAAAAAGCUAAGAUGAUAACAUAAGACCAGAAGACCCUGUGAAGCUUAAACUAAACUAUUAAACCAAAUAAUAACUACUUUCGGUUGGGGCGACCUUGGAAAUAAAAAGAACUUCCAAAUAUCUAUACUUAAACAUAAAUACUUAGGCUCACAAGCCAACAAAUGACCCAGCAAAGCUGACAAUUGAACAAAGUUACUCCAGGGAUAACAGCGCUAUCUUCUUCAAGAGCCCAUAUCAAAAAGAAGGUUUACGACCUCGAUGUUGGAUCAGGACAUCCUAAUGGUGCAACCGCUAUUAAGGGUUCGUUUGUUCAACGACUAAUGUCCUACGUGAUCU